rnacentral:rRNA from 1 species
UAUUGGACAAUGGGCGAAAGCCUGAUCCAGCCAUGCCGCGUGUGUGAAGAAGGUCUUCGGAUUGUAAAGCACUUUAAGUUGGGAGGAAGGGCAGUUACCUAAUACGUGAUUGUUUUGACGUUACCGACAGAAUAAGCACCGGCAAACUCUGUGCCAGCAGCCGCGGUAAUACAGAGGGUGCAAGCGUUAAUCGGAAUUACUGGGCGAAAGCGCGCGUAGGUGGUUUGUAAGUUGGAUGUAAAUCCCCGGGCUCAACCUGGAACUGCAUUCAAAACUACUACAGAGAUGGAAGGGUGGUGAAUUUCCUGUGAGCGGUAAAUGGAAAUGAAGAACACCAGUGGAAGGGCACCUGGCUAUCUGACUGGUAA